GUCUCUUCGGGGACAUCCGAGAAAAUUGGAAUGCUAUAGAGAAAAUUAGCAUAGCCCUACGCAAGGAUGAUAUUACAAAUAGAGAAAUGGUCCAAUGUUUU